rnacentral:misc_RNA from 1 species
GAUGAAGAACGCAGCGAAAUGCGAUAAGUAAUGUGAAUUGCAGAAUUCAGUGAAUCAUCGAAUCUUUGAACGCACAUUGCGCCCGCCAGUAUUCUGGCGAGCAUGCCUGUUCGAGCGUCAUUUCAACCAUCAAGCCCCAGGCUUGUGUUGGAGCCCUGCGGCUGCCGCAGCCUCCCAAAACCAGUGGCGGGCUCGCCAUCACACCGAGUGCAGUAGUUUACUCUUCGCUCAGGGCGUGUGGCGGGUGCUAGCCGUGAAACCCCCAACUUCUCAAGGUUGACCUCGGAUCAGGUAGGAAUACCCGCUGAACUUAAGCAUAUCAAUAAGCGGAGGA